rnacentral:pre_miRNA from 1 species
UUGCUGCUCCCUUCGUCCAACAAAAGAUCUUACACAUUUUUCAAAUUUUGAAUGUAUCUAGAUAUGAUUUAGUGUAUAGAAGCAUUCAAAUUUAGUCAAACUUGAGACAUUUUUUGUUGGACGGAGGAAGUUGAAG